GUCCAGCUGACGAGUCCCAAAUAGAACGGGAUGCGCAUCCUGGAU
rfam:Schistosoma haematobium scaffold417_10, whole genome shotgun sequence.